GAUGAACGCUGGCGGCGUGCCUAAUACAUGCAAGUCGAGCGAACAGACGAGGAGCUUGCUCCUCUGACGUUAGCGGCGGACGGGUGAGUAACACGUGGAUAACCUACCUAUAAGACUGGUAUCACUUCGGGAAACCGGAGCUAAUACCGGAUAAUAUAUUGCACCGCAUGGUUCAAUAGUGAAAGACGGUUUUGCUGUCACUUAUAGAUGGAUCCGCGCCGCAUUAGCUAGUUGGUAAGGUAACGGCUUACCAAGGCAACGAUGCGUAGCCGACCUGAGAGGGUGAUCGGCCACACUGGAACUGAGACACGGUCCAGACGCCUACGGGAGGCAGCAGUAGGGAAUCUUCCGCAAUGGGCGAAAGCCUGACGGAGCAACGCCGCGUGAGUGAUGAAGGUCUUCGGAUCGUAAAACUCUGUUAUUAGGGAAGAACAAAUGUGUAAGUAACUAUGCACGUCUUGACGGUACCUAAUCAGAAAGCCACGGCUAACUACGUG
rnacentral:rRNA from 1 species